UUGACUUGCAAACGAGAAUGAUUAUUAUUGCAUGCAGCUGGUCGCGAGAUCAGUCGAUUGUCCAAGGGACCUUAGGUCGGUCUCCUGGACACUCUCCUCAUCAGGCUAAUCACGGUUUUUGACCCGGCUUUUUGCCGGGUCUUUUUUUG
rfam:Pseudomonas sp. VI4.1 NODE_131_length_11045_cov_22.563, whole genome shotgun sequence.